ACGUUAUCGAUGUCGACUUGGAGGUUGUGCCCUUGAGGCGUGGCUUCCGGAGCUAACGCGUUAAGUCGACCGCCUGGGGAGUACGGCCGCAAGGUUAAAACUCAAAUGAAUUGACGGGGGCCCGCACAAGCGGUGGAGCAUGUGGUUUAAUUCGAUGCAACGCGAAGAACCUUACCUACUCUUGACAUCCAGAGAACUUACCAGAGAUGCUUUGGUGCCUUCGGGAACUCUGAAACAGGUGCUGCAUGGCUGUCGUCACCUCGUGCCGA
rnacentral:rRNA from 1 species